CUUACGAAUAUUGAGACGCCCCCAAAAUUAGGUACACAUCACCCAUCUUGGGUCGCCACUUUCAUGGUACAUAAUUCAAAUACAAACUAACUUAUACAACAUGAGCUGGGAGUUUUAAAUACGCAUAUUGUCAUCUAGACAGUAUACAAACUCAAUGGAGUCCUCAUUAUAUUUAUUGUCACACUAUUUAACAGAAUAGUGAGGACUACUAGCUAAUGCUAUCAUCUGUUCCCCGACUAGUCCCAGCUACG
rnacentral:lncRNA from 1 species